AGCUACAGUUAGUUUGACUGGUUGAGAAAAGACGAGCUAGUAGCUUUAAUCCGGUUUUCCAGGUUACAAGACAUGGUUUGUAUGAAUUGUCAUCAUUUUCCCAAAAGAAGGCAUAUGUAUUUUCACAGCGUUGGAGAGUAAGGAGGGGGGGCUUAGAUAAGAAUCAGCCACACACACAAAAGUAAAUUAUAGAGCAGUCUUGAGUAAUGUUUUGAUAAUUAUCACAGACACAGAAAGGAGCUCUGUCGGUGAGGGAUCCUGAGGAAAAGCAACAGCACACACACAGGAAAAGAAUAGCCGGAUUCGGUCUAAGAUGAGGGGCCGCACCCUCAUGUAACUGGGGAUGAGCAUGCUGGAAAGUGCCAAGGUUUGUCGUAUCUUAUAGGAUAUGACUUGGGUAGAUCCGGGAUAAAAGGAAGGAAAGAAAAGUGACAGGUCAGACAGGAAGCUGAAAUGACCCGUCAGAGCCCUGAGAGAAAAACACGGAUAUCAAAUGAGUAGACCACCCAAAUGAAUUAGCACAGCCUGUCGGACAAACAAACAGACCUUCAGUGGAGCAAUGAACCAAAAUGGAAGUUUAUUCAUAUUUACUCCACUUACAGAUUGGAUUUCUCUCAGGAGGAAAAAUAAAUAGGGGUCAAACAAGAGUUAACCACAAUCCCUGAGGAAGCAAGGACUCAUGAUUUGAUUGUUAAAGGAUGCCGGAGACCUCCAGAGAGCCCGAGAGGAAGCCAUCACUCAUCAAGCUGUUCAAAAUACUUAUGUUGUCUGUUUUAUGAACUAUAUCUAUACGUGAUGAGUCACAGUAAACUGUACUGUGUGACAGUUACAUUUCAGUGGAUAUAAAACACUGUACACUAAGAUGCAAGUUUUUGAUAACAUAACAUCUUUUAAGCUGUUAUAUAACUUAAAAGUUUAAAACAUUCAAACAUUUUCUUGGUUCCCAUGAGGGGAAAUGCUUUUUGGCUAGGGGUUAUAGGUCUGUGGGUAAGAGUUAGGCUUUAGAAAAUGAAUGGAAGUCAAUGUAAAGUUCCCACAGUGAAAAAAAUGUGCGUGUGUGUGUGAAGUUAAAUCAAAGGAUGAUUCAAUGCAGCAUUUAAGGAUGCAUAUGCAACCUGAUCAUUGCAGCCUUUUUACAUUUUUCUCUGGAUCAGUUUCAGUUGAAUUGUGCAGGGUGCAUGUUACAUUCAGAGUACAGAAAAGUCCUAAAAUGGUUAUUCUGGUGUAAUUUGUUACACUACAUAAACACCCCAUUUUGACAGAGGUGUGUAAACUGUUUAUGCACACAUAAACCUUUUGCGGUUUAUAUGUGCAUAAACUGCAUAAGGUCAUAGUUUUUUCUUGAUGAUGCAGCAACAAUCAAUAACACUUAAGGAUCUUUUAUCUUCAUGUUUUAUUGUAGACAAGUCAGAGAUUUCUGCCAGCUGGUCUUUAAGAAAAUUAUUUAUGGCUAAGCUGUUUUUCCUCCCCUGAUGCAUCUCAAAUGUACAGAUGCUUAAAAAAAA